ensembl:misc_RNA Metazoa_SRP Metazoan signal recognition particle RNA
GCCAGGCGUGGUGGUGCACACCUGUAGUCCCAGCUACUCAGGAGGCUGAGGCAGGAGAAUCACUUGAACCCAGGAGGGAGGUGGAGGUUGCAGUGAGCUGAGAUAGCGCCACUGCACUCCACCCUGGGUGAUAGAGUAAGACUCUGUCUCAA